CUCACGUCUGCCUCCCUCCACGCCUCUGCCUUUUCUCCCUCCCUUCAACCCCUCCUCCAGCUGACCCACGUGGGACGUUUCGGUGACAGGCCCUGGAAGAGGCGGAGGCCCUAGCGGAUCUGCCACAGCUGAGCGCAAGCGGAUGCUGGGAUGCUCAUGAUGGACAGACUGCGCAUCCUGAAUACGCCCCGCCAUACCCGGGGCUCCGGACUUGGCCUGUCAUCCGGUCCAAGAAAUCUGACCCUUAUCAAGCCUCUGCUUGGCUGAUCUGACUGCUGUCAUCGGUGGAGGCCCUCUGGUGCCUACAGAGGCACAAGACAGGGAAAAAGAGAGACUUGAGUCCUACUAAUGCCCUCCAUAUCAUGCCUGAUGGCGUGGUGCGCAGUACAGACGGGCAGAUCAUGUCAGUGACCACACAAGAAAUCUCAGCUGCAGGAAAAAAAACGGGAGAAUUUUGGAGAAAAGGCGACUCCGUUAUUCCUUCAGCCAAUUUUCCCCUAUAAGUAUUUGAACAUGAACACAGGGGAGGCAAUUUUAGACAUACGCAGUUACAUGAAUAAAGUGGGCCUAAAUAAAUACCUAAAGUAGGCACUUGCAGUGUGUGGGUCUGCAUGGCUGCGGGCAUUAACAGCCGCAUCGUGUAUGCUCUAGGGCAGUGUGUGUAGAAAACAUCAUGAAUUGAACACUUAAUACCCCCAUAAGGUGAUAAUAUCCCCUGCUUCAUUUUCACAUUGAUCCCAGGUUAAGAUAUUUGAGCUAAAUAGUAUCCUUAAAUUUCACUUAUUUUUCUUUCACUUUUUCAGUGUAGCUGUUAGAAACUCUUAGUUACAUUUCACAUGUGUCUUACUGUAUUUCUGAUCGGCAGAGCUGUCUUAUGAGCCUGUCUUCAUCCUUAAAUCCCCCAGACUAAAAUAAAGGCUCUGAAUAUUAGGAAGGGGGACUAGAAGAAGGAAGUUGCUCCCUUCGAUUGCACCCCCACCCCCAGCAUGCUGACCAUUGGCUUAUUUUCCAGAGAUGAAUGGAAUGAAAGAUUAAAGGCAGUCAUACAGGAUUUCACCCUCUCCAGUACAAAGAAAGGCUGAUAAACUCAACCCUAAGCUGGCAAACAGGAGAGGACAUUUGAUAGCACUAAGCAUGUCUGGUCAUGCUGGGGGGUGGGGGGAGGGCGUGGCACUGCAGAUAAAUCUGAGUUUGGUUUCAUGCUCUGCCAUCUCCGGUGAUGGACUUAAUCUCCAUGAGCCUCAUUUUCCUCCAUCUUCAAAGGAUAGAUGGGACUGCCUUAACAUUGACUAACAUGGAUAAAAGCAAACAUGUGCAUAGCACCUACCAGGUGUGUAAACUGUCCUAGGUGCUUCAGACAUAAUCAUGAUCAUGCGAUGGUGUUGUCAUGUCAGAAAGUACAUGACACAAGAAGUUAGGUGACUUACAGCUAGUGUGGUUCAAACCCAGGCAGUGAUCAUAAAUCACCCUUCUGUGCAGCAGUCCACACACACACACACACACACACACACACA